rnacentral:rRNA from 1 species
CACGUAGGGCGCAAGCGUUGUCCGGAAUUAUUGGGCGUAAAGAGCUCGUAGGCGGUCUGUUGCGUCCGCUGUGAAAACUCGGGGCUCAACCCCGAGCCUGCAGUCGAUACGGGCAGACUAGAGUGCUGUAGGGGGAGACUGGAAUUCCUGGUGUAGCGGUGAAAUGCGCAGAUAUCAGGAGGAACACCGGUGGCGAAGGCGGUUCUCUGGGCAUUACCUGACGCUGAGGAGCGAAAGUGUGGGGAGCGAACAGG